UCAGUUCUGUGCGUUACGGAGUAUAGCACAGAACGUAUGUCUAAACAUAACGCACCGCACAAAACAGUGCGGUUCGUUCAUGCGUGUGGUUGUCACGUGAGUGAUGGUCACUCAGGUGGACAUAGGCGGGUAUUUGCACGGGGUGUGCAUUGUUUGGUCAGUUCUACGCUAGACUUCGAUCAGUAAACUUUUACUUUUUUAAAUUCGAACCGCAUUAGUAGUAAAUUGGCUCAAAUGACAUGUUAUGUUUGUGUUACAUAAUGUUUAGUUACAUGUUAAUAUUGGAUGAUUUCAGGUACAGUUUUCCAGAGCUAUUUUACAUUGGGCUUCUGAUGAAUUUUUAUCUCUGGUUUUUAACCUGGCCUUGAAAACACCAAUUAAGGACACAAUACUAGAAGUGAUGUAUAAAAAGUGAUAGUUAUACUUUGUGAUAUAAUUUAUAGAUCGAAAAUUGUCCUGUCAUGUUUGUACUACGAUUGUACUUGAUUGUUAUAUGAUACGAAUAUGUAAUAUUCGUGGACGUGUGUUGUCAAUGUCAAUAAACUGAUCGCAAGCCUUGCCCAAUGCAAAACGUGUUGUGUUUUGUGCUUAGUUGUGUGAAGACUUAAAAUUCACAUGAACUAUCCAUUUAUGUUUGCCACUUUAGUGCUAAAUUUAAUACUCUUUUUUCAAUACAGUAAUUAUUACUAUAAUCUAGUUGCUAACCUUCAGUAUUUGUAUAUACUUGUGUAUACUAGUGUUCGUAAAAAUGAACAUGAAAUAUUUAAUUUAUCUGAACUUCUUUGUGCACAUUUAAACCAACAUGUACUUACUUUAUGUGCAGGAGAGUAGCAAUAAUACAUAUUGAUACACCAAUUUAUGCAUGCGUUUAAAUUUAGUUUUUAAAUAUAUAUGAAUAUAAUCCAACAUGUACCUGUUUUAUAUGCAUGGUAGCGGUAUGAUUUUAUAUUUAUACAUCACUGUAUAUAAUGAACAUGAACAGAAAUAAGAAUCUUUAAUAGCAAUUAUGGUCUUUAUACAUAUUCUAACAUAUAAACAAAAGCUGUUUAUUGUUAUCUUUAAUUGAAUACAUGAUCAUUCAGUGUAACACAUUGCUAAACAGUGUAUCCACUAAUAUACCUUCAUUACAUGAUUUUUCCUUCUAAUCUGUGAAUGUUAAAUAUAUUAUAAAUACAUUUAAAUAAAUUAUAUUUUUGAAGGUAUUAGAAGUACUGAACUUAGGAUUAUCUGUUGUCUUCAUUAACAUACUUAAGCAAUAUUGUUUUGGGGGUUUUAUGAAGGUGUAAAUAGUGGAAGACUAAAAUCAUCCUUUUAUUUUUCAUUUAACACUUUAUAAUUAGAAGUACUUCAUUUAUAUAUUUACUCUUACUUCAUUUUCGCUUUCAUAUGAAGUUUUUUUUAAGUGUUUAAUGAACUUGGGAUGUAAAAUACAUUUAUACUGUCUGAUUCAAUAAUACUGUCUGUGUAAGUAUUCCUUUUUCUCAUAUUAAUCAGUUAUAAAAUUAUUAGAAAAAAAGAAAUGCUUGUCAAAUAUAUACCUUCUCCUACAUACUGAUUAAAUUAAACUGAUACUACAAAGUAAAAUGAAUUGAAGGUGAUUAAAUAGGUAUACUUUUUUGUUCCAAAAUUAACAUACUUGUUGAACUCUAGUUUUCACUUGAAUGAAUAAUUGAUAAUAUAACUAUAUUUAUUCUACAAAAUACUCAUUUAUGUAUGAGCAAUUGAUUUUAUAACUAUACUUAUUCCACAAAACACUAACUAUGUGCUAACAUUAUGGCAUUUAGACAAACAUACUAUUAUUUUACAUUUAAUAAUCCAAAUUAAAUUGGGUCAAGUAUAAGGUUUGAUGUGAGCAUGCAAAACAAAUACAAAUUGUCACUUCUGCUUUUUGAGUUAUUGAUUAAAAAACUAUUUAUAAUACUGUUUAUUACAGUAACUGGCAUAUCGUACUUAUACCUUAACUAUGGUUAUGUUAUAAGUUUAUGAAACUUUAGCAAAACUGUUUUAGUAAUCUCCUGAUAAAAAAAUUUGUACUUCAAUUAUAUAUAUUAAUCCUUAAUAGAAGUUGUCACAAAUUUGUCAAGGCUCUUAUCCAUGGGUAUGAAACUUGUGUGAAUUUUUUCCAUGUUUAAUCUGAAAAUACCUUGAAAAAAACUUAUUUGUUACCGUUUUAGAUUGACAGCUCUUGUUGCCUUCUUACUUGUACAUAACUUAAACCAACAGUCGCACAACCACUGUUAUUGAUUUUUGGGUUAUGCUACUAUUACAUGUAUAAAUUUGUAAAUAGUCUAUGGCAAUUAUACGUUAUUGUUAUGUACUUGUAUGUAUUUUUCCAUGUUUAUUUUGAAAAUACCUGGAAAAAACUUAUUUGUUACCGCUUAAGAUUGACAGCUCUUGUUGCCUGCCUUCUUGUACAUAACUUAAACAAAUAGUCGCAUAACUACUGUUAUUGAUUUUUGCGUUAUGCUACUAUUACAUGUAUAAAUUUGUAAAUAGUCUAUAGCAAUUAUACGUUAUUGUUAUGAAAUUAUGAUCACAUAUAAAUAACAAUAAUCGUUCAUAAGAACUGUAAAAGUGGUACAUUAAGUGUGCUUAUUAUAUAUGAAUAAAACAAAGUUAUUCAUUCCUUAAUAACUGUAUACUGGUAUAGUUCAGCAUUUAAAAAUGCUUCGAACGAGAAUAUAAUACAUAUUGUUUAUUUUAUGAAAAAAUAAACUUAUUAAAUUUAGAUAACAUUACAUUGAUUGAUAUCUGCUCUUAACUACGAAAAGUACUUUAUCAAAACAAAACUUUUCAAAAGAUAAUUAAAAAAUUAACUAUAUACUGAUUGCAUAUGUUCAUUCAUAUUUGUAAUGUUUAGCCAAGCUGCCAUUACACUUAUUGUCUUUUUCACUUUUUAUUUUUUUCUUUGCUUAUUAUGUUGUUUUUUUGUGAGGACCAAUCGUUUAUUGUGUUUUUUUUCUAACUUUUGUGAUUUUUUCCUUUAAUUUCUCCAGGUCUAUGGAAUAUUUAUCUUUUUGUAUCCCUAAUUUAUGUUUUUUACUUUUGUUUGUAUGUAUGGACAUCUUAUGUCUCACAAUAGAAACCAACUGGACUUGCUUUAAAAGAGAAACUAACUGGAAGCACACACAAAUUAUCAUUUACAUCACCUUUCACCUCUUUAAAUGAUUAAGAUAUGUACUUUAAAUGUAAAAGGGUUACACAAUAAAGACAAACGAAUAAAAAUCUUCAAAUGGUUAGACGAAACUACUUUAGCACAAACCUUAAAAGAUGAAUGGGACGGAGAAAUCUAUCUCAGUGGAGAACAUACUAAUAAACAAGGCAUUGCCUUUCUGAUAAAAAAUAAUAUAGGGGUCACAGUCGAUAACUUUAAGAAAAUAAUAAUUGGCAGACAAGCAAGUAUAGAUAUCAAAAUACACGACACACAAAUAACAUUAAUCAACGUCUACGGCCCUAACAUAGACGAUUCCACAUUUUACGAAACAUUACAAUCCUUUAUAAUUAAUAACCAAGAUAAAAAUAUUAUAAUAGGGUGGUGAUUUCAACACUGUCCUGAACCCAUUAAAAGAUAAAAAGAAUGGAAACCUUUAUACUCAUACUAAAAAUAGAAACAUUUUAAAUAACAUAAUUGAAAACUACAAUAUGAUAGAUAUCUGGCGUACAGUAUACCCAAACGAAAGCAAAUUCACCUGGCACUCAAACACAAAACCAACAAUAUUUUGUAGAUUAGACUAUUUUUUAAUAUCUGAAUCUCUUUGCAACAUUAUUGACACAUGUAACAUAAAACCAGGAUUUAUGACUGACCACUCUCUAGUUGAACUUAAACUGCACAAUAUACAACCUGAAAGAGGCCCAGGAUAUUUUAAAAUUAACAACAGCAUCUUAUUAGAUACACAAUAUCAAACACAAAUAAACCAGGAAAUAUUAAAUACAGUUCAAAAUAAUAAAGAUGCAAACCCAAACACCUUUUGGGAAGUAAUUAAAGGAAAUAUACGUAACACAACAAUUAGAUACACAUCAUUUAAACAAAAAGAAACACACAAACUUGAAACUGAAACCAUCAAAACCAUUGAAACACUUGAAAAACAAUUGCAUCAAACAAACACAAAUGAUACCACCGACAUUGAAAAUUUUAUUUUUAUUUUAUUUUUCAAUCUGACAAGAUCAUUGUGAAUAUACAACAAAACACAAAAGUCCAGUAUGCUUUCUUCCGACUUUAUACAACUCAUCUUUUUUCAUAAUUAUUCCUCUGUUGUGCUUUUCUUUUCUCUCUAAAAAUAAAAUA